GCCCUUUACCUUUGGGGGACUCCACUUCAUUUUGUGAAGCCUCAUUCACCCUGAGGCACAUGGUGCCCUUGGAGAUGCCCUGGGCUCUCCUGGGGGCUCCAUACUCCCUUUGAGAAGGAUGGGCAUCAGUCUCCAGCUCUGCCAUAUGGGAGAUACCGCUCGACUAUUCACCACCUCCAGGAGCACUGGGCACCCACAAGUGACAAAUGAAUCCAGCCCUCGUUCCCUAACACAUCACCUAUGAACUCAUCGCCUUGAGCCCAUGGAGAGCCCCAGAAAAGCAACAGGCCCUUUCAGGGUGAAAGUCCUUGAGCACAUUUUUGACUCCAGCUUUAGAAGGAGAGCCCAACUUUCAAGCACUGAGGAAAUCCCCUUUUCUUAGAGAGAAGCCAGCUCUGCCACAGUGAUAGACAAAUUCACAGAAGGCCUGUGGGUCAGAUUGAAGAGGUUCAUGUCUGUCUCUUUUACCAUCCUGACCCCUUCUCCUACAGCCUGUCGCUGCUUACCCUUAACCCAUUGGCGCUGCUUUGUUUUUUUUGUUUUUGUUUUGUUUUGUUUUGAGAAAGAGGAGCAUCAGUCCAGAAGGAUCUUGAGAAACUCGGGUGAUUCACACGACAGAUACCUUAUGAAGAUUUACAAGAGAAGUGUCAGGUCCUGUGCCUAGGAAGGAAUAAUCCCAUCCAUGAGGAGAGGUUGAGGGACCUGGGCUUCUUUAUGCUGCUGAAGUGGAGGCAAAGGGCAGUAGAGUAGGAGCCUGUGACUGCUUGAAGGGUGGUUUCAGAGAUGAUGGAGCUUCUCUUGGUAGUGGGAAAGAGCAUGAGAAGGAGGAAAAGCCACCAAGAGCAGCUUGUGGGGUUUAGCUGUGACAUUAGGAAAAGCAAAUGUCACUGGCAGGGUAGUGCUGUGGUGCUAGAGGACAUCGAGAGGGAGACUGUGAUCAGCCCCUGGCUUGGUGUUUCAAGGAAAAGCAAGUGAGGUCAGGAAGAUAUCAGGAGAGGCGGGGAGAUCGUGGGGUGAGAGCAAGGUGGUGAAGCAGGCUGGGUGUCUAGGGUUUGCAGGGAAACAGGCACAGGCAUGGGAAAGCAUAGGACAGCCUGUGGUAGAGAUGGCCGAGGGCACUGCCAAGGCUGAAAGCUCCCAGCACAGCUAGGUCUUUGUCCUCUAAGCUAUGGCUGGUGUCUCUGCCACCAAGGCCCACGUGAAGACGUUGUUUCCAUGAAGCACUGUGGCCUUGCUGCCUUCUUGUCCCUUGGGAGCCCAGGAGCUGCCGUAUCAUGGUCCUGCACUCGGCAUUGUGCAUCCCCACCCGCACACUACUCCCAGGAAGAGCCCUGAGCAAUGCAUGAUGGAAAGCAUCACCCU
rnacentral:lncRNA from 1 species